AUUGAACGCUGGCGGCAUGCCUUACACAUGCAAGUCGAACGGCAGCGCGGGAGCAAUCCUGGCGGCGAGUGGCGAACGGGUGAGUAGUGCAUCGGAACGUGCCCAGUUGUGGGGGAUAGCCCGGCGAAAGCCGGAUUAAUACCGCAUACGACCUGAGGGUGAAAGCGGGGGGCCUGGCAAAGGGCCUCGCGCGAUUGGAGCGGCCGAUGUCAGAUUAGGUUGUUGGUGGGGUAAAGGCCUACCAAGCCUGCGAUCUGUAGCUGGUCCUGAGAGGACGACCAGCCACACUGGGACUGAGACACGGCCCAGACUCCUACGGGAGGCAGCAGUGGGGAAUUUUGGACAAUGGGCGCAAGCCUGAUCCAGCCAUGCCGCGUGCGGGAAGAAGGCCUUCGGGUUGUAAACCGCUUUUGUCGGGGAAGAAACGGCCUGGGAUAAUACCUUGGGCUAAUGACGGUACCCGAAGAAUAAGCACCGGCUAACUACGUGCCAGCCGCCGCCGUAA
rnacentral:rRNA from 1 species